rnacentral:rRNA from 1 species
UACGAAGGUCCCAAGCGUUGUUCGGAAUCACUGGGCGUAAAGGGGAGCGUAGGCGGCGUGGUAAGUCAGAUGUGAAAUCCCGGGGCUCAACCCCGGAACUGCAUCCGAUACUGCCAUGCUAGAGGAUUGGAGAGGUAGCUGGAAUUCUUGGUGUAGCAGUGAAAUGCGUAGAGAUCAAGAGGAACACUCGUGGCGAAAGCGAGCUACUGGACAAUUCCUGACGCUGAGGCUCGAAGGCUAGGGUAGCGAAAGGG